rnacentral:rRNA from 1 species
GACGAACGCUGGCGGCGUGCCUAAUACAUGCAAGUCGAACGCAGUGGGGACGGGUGAGUAACACGUGGGUAACCUCCCAUCAGAGGGGAUAAGACUUGUAAAAAGGUGCUAAACCCAUACUGUUGGAUGGACCCUGGGGGCAUUAGCUAGUUGGUGAGGUAACGGCUCACCAAGGCCACGAUGCAUAGCCGAGCUGAGAGGGUGAUCGGCCACACUGGGACUGAGACACGGCCCAGACUCCUACGGGAGGCAGCAGUAGGGAAUCUUCGGCAAUGGACGAAAGUCUGACCGAGCAAUGCCGCGUGAGUGAAGAAGGUUUUCGGAUCGUAAAACUCUGUUGUUAGAGAAGCGGUAUCUAACCAGAAAGCAACGGCUAACUACGUGCCAGCAGCCGCGGUAAUUC